AUGUUACUCAUAUUAAUCAGAAUCACAACUACCCAAUGCAGUAAAGCAUCAGGUUUAUCUGUUCCCACUUUUAUAGAUGAUGAAACCAACGUGCAGAGAGGUUAUGCAGUUUGCCCAAGGACACACAGCUGGAAACAACAUUCUGGAUUAAUUUUAAGUGAAAAUACCCUGGAGGCACACUGAAUUUUCAGACGUGGACAGCUGAUCAUCUGAGGAAGCUGCCGCAUUUCCAGUUCUCUUUUGGUUGGGAGAAAGGCCAUUCUUCAUGCUCCUCUGUUCUUUUGAUUUCCUAUUGGCAUCUCCGUUUCCCUCCAUACUUUUCAACAUUCAAGCCAGAUGCCAAUUGUCUAUGUGAAAACACACUGCAUCGCAAAUAUACCAAGAUGCCAUAAUAUUUGACCAUAUGUGAAUAUUCCAGUAAACUCCUGGGGACUUAUGUUCCAGCGUCAGUGCUGAACAACAGGAAGACUGUAAAUACCAUCAGCUAACCAGAAGACUCACGUAUGCCUCAUGUUUAUAAAUGCCUGACAGAUGUAGUGCGUUCUAAAUUUGAAUUUUUGGUGCAAGAGAGGGGAUGGGUGCUCUCUCCAUGGAGGAAAUCGCAGCUUGCAAACAUACAAAUGAAUGGGACCUCCUCAGGUUGCUGCUGAUCCUGGCAAUCAGUUAUUGUGGAGAGACUUGCAAACAAGGAACAUCUCUUGAGAUGAGCUCUGAAAGAAAAGAAGAAAAGAAUGUGUCCAUGGUAGCCAACAGAUAUACUAAAUAAAAUAAAGUUUGAACUCACGAUAUUAACUGGUCCAGAAAAAUUCCCCUGAAGCUGGACAGGGUGGGAUUAAAUUCUAAAACCUUAAGCAAAAGAUUUCAAAGGACACAGGAUGAAUUUUGAACAAUAUCUUUAUAUUUGCCACCCCCUUCAGUCCCCAGCCUCCUGCGAUGCUGGCCUCAUCAUUGAAAAAACACAGAAGCAAACCACUUCAGGAAGAUUUGCUAGACACCAAGCUUUGUUUUGGACCUGGUGAGAGUUAAGAAGAUGAAAUAAACAAGCUCUUUGUUCUCGAGUUGCCCAGUGAUUUAGUACGAGAAUCUUUAUUGUCAUAAAAGUGCCUAACAAUGCUAGGCAGGAAGGCAGGAAGCAGGAACUGAAAGCAACGUGUCCUUGGAAUGGCCCACAGAAGAGGCUGAGACUCUUAGCUUGCCUCUGAGCUGACUUAAAGUGUCUAGUAUAAUGGCAGUUCUUUUACUGAACUGCACUCUCUUCUAGUAAGUAUAAAAAAGUUCUAUUGGCAAUAAUAAUAGCAAACAUUUAUCAGGUUUUUACUGUGCUAAGCACUUUAAUUCUGUUAUUGCACUUUCAAAACAACUUAUUGAGGAUGAUACCAUUACUUUUCCUGUAUUACAGCAGAGGGAACUGAGCUUUAGAGAGAGAAAAUAAUUUGCCACAGUUGUCUUAUAUAAUUGUUCAUCCCAUAGAGAAUGGCAUUUUCAUUUCUACAGAGAUCAGAGUGUGUUAAUUGUUUUCUAUUUCCUGUCUCAAACAUGUUACUCCUCAUCUCUGCCAAAGCAAGCUCUAUUUAUCCUGCAAGAACUGUGGAACGUCCUCUACUUCCAUUGUAAACUCUUCCUGGGACCCAGUGACCUCUCUUCCCACAGCACACUUGGAGAAUUUAUGCCUGCCUCAUGUAUUUGACAAUUGAUCAUAAAUGGUCCUAUCCUAAUUCUCAUUUGUCAUAUGAUAUUGUAUAAUUUUGUUUAAUCUUUCCAUCCAGAUUGUAAACUCCUUGUUUCUAGCUUUGUCUUAAGGAUUAAAAGUGAGUCUUUUAUACUAUUCACUACAGUGCA